rnacentral:lncRNA from 1 species
CUGCUUUUAACAUUUUGGGCUUAAAUUACAGUUAAUAGUUCCCAUAAAAGAGGUAAUAGGAGAAAAACUAAAAUUCAGAAUCCUUGAACUCAAAAGGCGUUCUGGAUUUCUAGUCAUAGCAUCAUCCCUCACGGUUUUUCUGUCAAAAAAUAAAGCAACCGGGGAGUUGUUUAUACAGACAGAAGGUGACAAAAUCUUUGCUGAAUAUCCUUCGUGUUGAGGUGAGCUUUCCUUCUCUGAUCAGAAGCGGAUGAAUGUGCGGAGCCAUAUCCUUCAGAUCCCUUUCUCCUCACCUGAUUUUCCCUUUCUCCUAACCUGCAGGAAGCUUGGUGAUGGGAACCUCUCUGCUCUUGGCCCAGGCAGCUGCUCCUGCUGGCUUCUGGAGUUAAGACUCGAGUCUUCAAAAGGUCCCUUCCUGAAGCAUUGUGAGGCUCCCAAAGGUGAAUAUUAAUGAGCAGCGGUACCUGGGCUCCUCGGCACUUUAAUUACAGAACCCAGAUUAUGCUAAAUUGUGUGUAAGCAAAGAAGAAAACAUGGUGCCUUCCUCGGCAAGCUUACUCUGUGCAUGUAAAAGAGAACCAUC